AUGGUGGUGGCUUAGUUGUAGCAGAAUGUGUGGUGAUUCGUGAUCAAUGAAACUAGGCAGGAGGUGGAUGUUGGGUUAAGUGGGGGAACCCGAAGUUUUAAUCUUUUUGGUAGGUUUGAUGUAGAUGAUUGAGAAAGAGUGUUAAAAGUUUGGUUUUGAGUGAGUUUGGUGUUUACAUGGGUGUCCUUUGGGGUCUCUUGUCAUCAAAAUGAAAGUCACAGACGAUGGUUUUAGUGCUCUUUGAAUUCAUUGUGUCUAUGUGCAGUAAACCAGCUUCUCAACGUUGAUACUGUUUUUCCUUGAGCAAAACGAUGCAAAGGGAUAUCAAGUUAGUGGAAAUUGUUCAAGGAAACUGUUUGGAGAGUCUUCUGAGUUCUGAGCUUGGCCUUGUGUAAUCCAGGAUCUUCUUGUUCUUGUCUAGUCUCAGCAUCUUCGAGGCAUUUGCUGCUACUGGUUUUUGGAAUCUAUAGUCACAUUGGUCAGCUAAACUUGUCUGAGGAACUUAUUCCAGUUAUCAGUUGUAUCAGAAACAUGAACCGGUUAUGAUUGGAGUUACAGCAAGAGUGAUGCUUAAUUGUAACUUCUCUAAGCCUCUGCGUAUUUCGUGAUUUUGGUAGUGAUUAGUGAACUCCUUAGAGAUAGUGGGGACAAACUCUUGUUUGAAGCUGUAACUUCUCUUAGCCUCUGCAUAUUUUGUGAUGUUGGUAGUGAUUAGUGAACUCCUUAGAGAUAGUUGGGACAAACUCUUAAGCUGUAACUUCUCUUAGCCUCUGCAUAUUUGUGAUGUUUGUAGUGAUCAAUGAACUCCUUAGAGAUAGUUGGGACACACUCUUAUAAGAACCUGUUUGAAACUAUAAUGAAACUAGUUCUCAGGAUUGACCUGUUGCGUUACUUACAAUGGCUCCCCAACAUAUAUAGCCAUUGAAUUGCUUUGUCUUUUCCUUGACAUCAUUGUAAGAUUUUAUCCAACAUAUUGAACUCCCUGGGCAGAGAGUCCACAAUCAGUUUGGCCAGGAAAUGUUUUUACAUUCCUUUCUUGGUCAUUUU
rnacentral:lncRNA from 1 species